CGGAGGUGGCAAGCGUUACUCGAAGGGUUAUUGGGUGUAAAGGGCAAGUAGGUGGCUUAGUAAGUGAGAGGUGAAAUACUCCGGCUCAAUCGGAGAACUGCCUUUCAUACUGCUUUGCUUGAGGAUGGUAGGGGGUAAGGGAAUUCCCGGUGUAAGGGCGAAAUCUGUAGAUAUCGGGAAGAACACCAGCGGCGAAGGCGCUUACCUGGACCAUUCCUGACACUGAAUUGCGAAAGCUAGGGGAGCAAACAGAAUUAGAUACUCUGGUAGUCCUAGCCGUAAACGAUGAGCACUAGGUGUUGGCUCCGUUAGGAGUCAGUGCCGCAGCUAACGCAUUAAGUGCUCCACCUGAGGACUACGGUCGCAAGGCUA
rnacentral:rRNA from 1 species